rnacentral:rRNA from 1 species
GUGGGGAAUAUUGGACAAUGGGCGAAAGCCUGAUCCAGCCAUGCCGCGUGUGUGAAGAAGGUCUUCGGAUUGUAAAGCACUUUAAGUUGGGAGGAAGGGCAGUAAGUUAAUACCUUGCUGUUUUGACGUUACCGACAGAAUAAGCACCGGCUAACUUCGUGCCAGCAGCCACGGUAAUACGAAGGGUGCAAGCGUUAAUCGGAAUUACUGGGCGUAAAGCGCGCGUAGGUGGUUUUGUAAGUUGGAGGUGAAAUCCCCGGGCUCAACCUGGGAACUGCCUCCAAAACUGCAUGACUAGAGUACGGUAGAGGGUAGUGGAAUUUCCUGUGUAGCGGUGAAAUGCGUAGAUAUAGGAAGGAACACCAGUGGCGAAGGCGACUACCUGGACUGAUACUGACACUGAGGUGCGAAAGCGUGGGGAGCAAACAGGAUUAGAAACCCCGGUAGUCC